rnacentral:tRNA from 1 species
GAAAUAAUACUUUAAAUAAGAAGAGCUAGUUUGCACCUAGCCAGUAAGUCUCUUUUAUUUCC